rnacentral:rRNA from 1 species
UACAGAGGUGGCAAGCGUUGUUCGGAAUUACUGGGCGUAAAGGGCGCGUAGGCGGUCUACUAAGUCAGACGUGAAAUCCCCCGGCUUAACCUGGGAACUGCGUCUGAUACUGGAAGGCUUGAGGAUGGGAGAGGGAUGUAGAAUUCCAGGUGUAGCGGUGAAAUGCGUAGAUAUCUGGAGGAAUACCGGUGGCGAAGGCGGCAUCCUGGACCAUUACUGACGCUGAGGCGCGAAAGCUAGGGGAGCAAACGGG